UCGUUGGGGACCGCGAUCUGUUCAUGGCAGAAAACUCCACUCUUGCCUCAGGAGAGCCCUAAGUCAGUGGUUUCACCCCAUUUCUGAUUUCCUUGAGAGCUAACGCUGGUGCCUGCAAGGGGAUUCAGAAAGAGUGGAGUCAGCCACCUUAUUAGGAUGUCUAGAGGGUGAAUCUCUUGGAAACCAGUGUCUUAAAGGUGACCGACAGUGAUUAGUGGAGAAAUAAAACCACUGCCUGCCCUAGUUGAGCAUGACUUUCAGCAAGAGGAUCACAGGGGUAUAAGCCAAACAUCAAAGACUAUUGGAGAGCUGUAUCACUGCAUGUGAACAGGUGGAGUCUUUACCAACUAUGGAUCAAAUCCACAGAUGCUGAACUCUUGGAUACAGAGGGCCAACUGUUUUCUACAUAGACUGAAACUCGGCACUGAGUCCCUGGGUCUUCAAAGCUGAACUGAAAACGGAAGGAAAAUCAGUCCAGACUUGGGCCGAACUCUUGUCUUCACCUAAUUAUAAGGAUAGGGAUGUUUCCACUCUGGUCUCAGGAAAGACUCACAGUGUUUCCCUUGGAAUCUCAAAUCAUAGGUCUAAAGAAACCUAU